rnacentral:misc_RNA from 1 species
UCUUGGACAUGCCUUGCAUGGCAGGCUCCCCGCACGUACGUGCGGCCAACUGUCAUGGGGCUGUCUUCUCAGUGUCCCUUCGUUUGACCGUUUUGGUCGCUCGGGGGGCCUCGGACUUGGUUGCCUGUGCGGUCUUACCGUCGUUGGUAGCACAACUGUCCCUCUGUUUCGUAUUUGGCUGGCUCCGCCGAUGCUCUGCACCGACGGACGGCCGGGGCGUUGGCAAAUUCCGUGCGCUGCGAUGCGCUCUGUGCGUCGGAACUGCUUAUCGGAUGUUUGCCUGGUCACACGGAUAUCAGUCCCUACGCUGAGCGGUCUGCGGGCUUCAGCCCUGCAGGCUCACGGUGUUGCCCGUACACAUAAAUUUGUUGCCGACGGUUCCUCGACACGUCGSGUCCCUUCGGGAUUUUUMGUGAUCUGAGGGAUCUACAUCUCGGCGCUAUGAUAUCUGUGUGUACGUGCACAUCCUUACCGAGCCGAACCGAUACGCGGUCGCCGGUGUGCGUAGUCGCGGUA